rnacentral:rRNA from 1 species
GAUGAACGCUGGCGGCAUGCCUAACACAUGCAAGUCGAACGGAGCACCCCUGACAGAGACUUCGGUCAAUGGAUGGGAAUGCUUAGUGGCGGACGGGUGAGUAACGCGUGAGGAACCUGCCUUUCAGUGGGGGAUAACACAUCGAAAGAUGUGCUAAUACCGCAUAACAUAGCGGUGGGGCAUCCCAUUGCUAUCAAAGAUUUAUUGCUGAAAGAUGGCCUCGCGUCCAAUUAGCUAGUUGGUGAGGUAACGGCCCACCAAGGCGACGAUUGGUAGCCGGACUGAGAGGUUGAACGGCCACAUUGGGACUGAGACACGGGCCCAGACUCCUACGGGAGGCAGCAGUGGGGAAUAUUGCACAAUGGGGGAAACCCUGAUGCAGCAAUGCCGCGUGAAGGAUGAAGGUUUUCGGAUUGUAAACUUCUUUUGCACGGGACGAAACAAAUGACGGUACCGUAAGAAUAAAGCCACGGGCUAAACCACGU